GUUGGCGUAGGCUAGGCAUCGUCUUGGUAAGGCUGAGGUCGUGAGUUCAAUCCUCACCGGCAGCACCA
rnacentral:tRNA from 1 species